UGAAGAGGGUAGGAUUCGAACCUACGAUUAUAUAUAUAUAAAUAGAUUUACAAUCUAUCGCCUUCAGCCGCUCGGCCACCUCUUC
rnacentral:tRNA from 1 species